rnacentral:rRNA from 1 species
GUUUCGAUGAAGUUUUCGGAUGGAUUUGAAAUCGACUUAGCGGCGGACGGGUGAGUAACGCGUGGGUAACCUGCCUUACACUGGGGGAUAACAGUUAGAAAUGACUGCUAAUACCGCAUAGGCGCACAGGGCCGCAUGGUCUGGUGUGAAAAACUCCGGUGGUGUAAGAUGGACCCGCGUCUGAUUAGGUAGUUGGUGGGGUAACGGCCCACCAAGCCGACGAUCAGUAGCCGACCUGAGAGGGUGACCGGCCACAUUGGGACUGAGACACGGCCCAAACUCCUACGGGAGGCAGCAGUGGGGAAUAUUGGACAAUGGGCGAAAGCCUGAUCCAGCGACGCCGCGUGAGUGAAGAAGUAUUUCGGUAUGUAAAGCUCUAUCAGCAGGGAAGAAAAUGACGGUACCUGACUAAGAAGCCCCGGCUAACUACGUGCCAGCAGCCGCGGUAAUACGUAGGGGGCAAGCGUUAUCCGGAUUUACUGGGUGUAAAGGGAGCGUAGACGGUUAAGCAAGUCUGAAGUGAAAGCCCGGGGCUCAACCCCGGUACUGCUUUGGAAACUGUUUGGCUUGAGUGCAGGAGAGGUAAGUGGAAUUCCUAGUGUAGCGGUGAAAUGCGUAGAUAUUAGGAGGAACACCAGUGGCGAAGGCGGCUUACUGGACUGU